ACUCUUCUUCCCUUUUCUUUCUUUCUUCUUUCCUCUUUUCUCUGUUCUUCGUUUGUCUUCCACCCGGGAGACACCAAACGGAGAGAUGAGAGAUGGAGACCGAUUGAGAGGGAGAGAUCAGAGAGAGAUGAGAUUCGAGAGAGAGUGAGAUCGAGAGAGAGAUGAGAUCGGGCGAGUGAGAGAUGAAACCGAGAGGGAGAGGACCCGGAGACCCGAUUCUCCCGGAGGCUAGUAUUCCGUCGGCCAGAAUCCAUUUCCGGCGACUGGGGAAACAGCCGACGAACGGAGACCUCCAGUGGUGCGAUUUUCGGUGAAGCCUGAAGGAAACCCGUGACCCAGUGAUCCGCGACCCGAGACCCGUGAAACCCGACCCUCCAGGAACGGUUUUCCGGCGAGUUCUCCGACAAACCAGAGCCGAUUUCCCGUGAUUUCUUCGGUGGAUUUUCUGGGAAAAUCCUCAAAAUGUUUGCGCAGGUUCUGAAGAUUAAGGAAUGGAUUAACUGCUAGUUUAAGAGAUUUAAAGCUAUGUAGUUAGGAUUUUAGUGCUUUGUACUUGUAAAUGUUUGUACUAUUUUGUAUGUAACAUAUUUAGGAAUUUACUUGUAUUUAGUAAGUUUCCAUGUAUGUUUUGGUGUCAUAUGUGACACAUGUUUCUUUGUAAUUAGUGUAAAGAACUUUUAAUUUAUUUCUAGAGGAAUUUCAGUCAAAGCUCUAAAUGUAUUGUAAGGGAAUUGUCCCUGACGUUUGUAAAGAAAAAAAAAAUAUAUUUGUAUUUUUCACUGCGA